rnacentral:lncRNA from 10 species
GCCGCUAAGUUGUGCGUUCCAGGGUGCACUCGCCGGCGAGGCUGCACGGCGCCGGUUUCAUUGCUAAAAUCCGACGGACUUGUUGCAGAACUCGUUUUUUUUGUCGGGAAAGGGCUUCCCCGUGUAACUUUACAGCAGUUAUCGUAGAUAAGACUUGCAAAUUACAGAUGUGGACGGUGAGGGAACGGGAAUUUCACUGAAAGCGCCUGAGAACCAGUAAGAGACCUGCAACAGCUUUGUGCUCCACUGGCGAAUGCUUCCUCCCCUAAUACACAUUAUGUGUGCUUGGAGACACAAGGAGUAAGAUACAGCCCCUCAAGGGACUCGUCAUAGGGAGAGGACACAGCUUUGGGAAUAAAGGGGCCACAAAGGAGGAGAGAGGAGUUUGCUGAAACUUCCCAAGCUCCCAUUCCAGCAGUUCCUGAAGGAUUCAUUUCUCUCUGAGGAUCUCAUGAGGUGGCUUAGCAGCUAGAAUCUCUUCCUUAACAGUGGGAAGAACAACUCCUGGAAAUUUAGGUCGACUUUGACUGGAUUUAAAAGAAAGCUGUACAAUUCCACUUCUGUAUAUACAACCAAAGGAAAUGAGAUGUGCAUACCCAUGUUCAAUGAAGCAUUAUUCACAAUAGCCAAAAUGUGGAACCAAUCCUUAAACAAAAGGAAAACAGAAAAUCUGCUCAAGUGGGAAGAAACUAACCCUCAUUGAGUGCCUAGUUAACAUCAGGCACUUUGUACACAUAAUCAAUUGAAUCUUGACCACAACCCUGUGAGGUGAAAAAUGAGAAGAUUAAAUAAGCCAUGGGAAGAUUUUUUAAAAUGACAUGAAACUCCAAGGGUAAAAAGUAACCUUCUCCCGCAGUAUCCUGGUUCCCAUGCUUUCUGUACCCACGUGCCUACUCUUGCAAUCUAUACAUUGUUCCUGUUCAGCAGAGUUUGGAUGAAUACCCAACAGCCUGAGGAGACUGACUGUUACUUGAAAUGAAGGAGUGUUCUUGUUUGAACGAUCCUGCUCAGAAGGACCAGCCUGGGCUUGCAUCUCUUGUAGUAUUUUACUAAACCCUGCAACAGUAGCCACUUUUUUUCCCUGCCAAGUUAUCUAAAUGUAGAGCUUCCUGUGGUCUGAGUUUUAAGAGAUUACAGGUGAUAAUUAACUAAUUAUUUGCUUUACUAUAGAAUCUAUGUAUAGGUGGAAUCGAAGGUGGUGGAAUCUUUACUGAUUCCCUGACCCACUUCACUCAGUGAGUUACAUAUUUGAGGGAUAUCAGUGAAGUGUAUCACUAUGGUCUACUUGUUUGCAACUUACAAAAACCCAACAUGAAUAACCUUGGUAUCCAUGGGCUCUUGCUUCCAAGUUACAAAAACCUAGCAUGCAUAACCUUAGAGAAAAAAGGGAACAUUUUGACUGAUAGAAACCAUGAAAUGAGCGAAAAACAAAACAAAGAAAGUGGGCAGAAAUACAACUGGGAGCAGAAACUUGAAACCAUUCAACUUAAAGAAGACUUUCCCUCUCUCUUAUGUGAAGUGGUGUAUGUAGCAUAGUGGUUAAGAGCAGAGAUGCUAGCCCUAAUAGAUCUGGGUUCAAAUCUUAGCUUUAUUUCUCUUCUGUGACAUAAGGCAAGAAGCCCAAAACUUCUGUGCCCCAGUUUACCUAUCAAUAAGGUAUGAUAAUAGUAGUACCCACCUCAUACAUUUAUUAUGAGCAUUAAGAGAGUUAUCAUAUGACAAACGUUUGAAUUUGUGCCUAGCACAUAGCGGGACCUAUGUAUAAGUGCUACCUGUUAUUAUUAUGGUAUCUCUGAGAACAUUGAUUUCAGUUGUUCACCAUUGACUUGCUUUUGUUAUAGAGUUAGGAAAUAUGGCCAAUAAAAAUGUUUGAUUCGUAAGUCUAACUGCAACAGGAGAAUUCUGAUCUUUCCCUCAUCUUAAGUCCAAAGAUGUAAGGGAGGCUCUCUUUGCUAGCAUGAGUCUGGUGCUCACUCCUCAGCCAAUGAAAUCUCACCAAAUUUGUGGAGUUUGGGAAGAGUUUGACAGCUACUAUGGCAGUCAUGUGGACAUCCUUGAGCAGCUGAAG